GGGGAAGCAGGUUUCAGGUUCCUGCCUGGAUAUCUGGCUGGGGGUAAGGAGGGCGGCUCCCUGGCUGGCCAGCUCCUCAGUAUUGCAGGGCAGCAGCCCCCUCCCCCCUUUGUGCGUCCUGUGAGAUGGGCCAGGGCCAACGCCCUGCUCACGUCCCUACCGCCUUCGUCUCCUUUCCAGGCCCCUCCUUCCUUCCGGGCCAUUAGUCUCUCCCUGCACAGCUGCCAGUUCCUUCUCCUUGAUGGGUCUGGUUUGGUUGCCAGGGGAGUGGGAAGCGGGAGGAAGGGAGAGAUGGGACAGGACGAAUAAAUGACAGCUUGGCCUCCCCUAACUCCUGGGAAUUGGGAGGGGUAGGGUCCCACCCGGGAUAGGGCCGGGAGGCUUGGUGGGUGUGAGGAGGGGCUAGGGAAGCCUUGGUGCUUCCUGCCGCAGUCCUGGGCACUGAGCCCCAGCUGCUGUUGGCCUGGAGCCCCAUCUAUCCCGGAUUUGGCCCCACCCUCCAGGAGCAGGGAGCCAGCUCUGCAUCAGGAGAGGCGGGCAAGGCCUGGGGAGGACCAGCUCAGGCCCUGUCUACAGGGCACUAGUGGGGGACCCAAGCCUCUGAGAGUAGAGGCUGCUGGGGCUGCAGCUGGGCCUGGGGAGUUCCAGAUGGAGUUCCCGUCCUCACCCUGCUUAAGGGCUCCGCUGGCCACCUACAUGCCUCGGAGGAGAAGGGACAGAGGGCUGCCACAGCAGGGCUCUGGAGCUGUGGAUCAGGCCUGGGUGGGGAACUGCCAGGCAGAAGAGGCUCCUCCCCUAAAGCAGAAGGAGCAGGCCAGCAACUCCAGGCGGAGCAAAGAUGACAUUUAUCCAAGGGAGUGUAAAAUAGAGUCAGAGAAGCACUGGUAUGAGGAGUUUGGAGCCCUCAUUCCAUUCAUUCCCUGAGUUCUAGGAGCCUCCUCUGUUCCUCCAGAAGCCAAAAGACAGGGCAGGAAGACAAAAUCUUUCCGCAACUCCUCACCAUUCUCUGUUGUGCCCACAAUCUCCGGUUCCACCCUCACUGUAAAAUCACGUCUCCAUCCGCCUGCUUGAUCUUUCAGCCAGCCGCUCCUCAGCUGGAGAAUGGGAAAUAAUGGGCUGUGCCAGCAAGCCACACUCCAAGGGCAGAGUGCUCAGUGAACCUGUUCAAAGUGUGGCCUGGGCAGCUGCCUGAGGGUCACCCGGGCCAUGAAAAGGCAGGCCCCUGGGUCCUACCCACAUCUUCUGAAUCUUUAGAAGGGCAUUGACAAAUGCUCUACUGAUUUUUAAGUAUUCCUGGAUUAAGAUAUUUUUUCUUUAAAUUGUCCAUCUUUUACUCUAUUUUAUCUUGAAAAAAAUCAAACCCAGGACAAAGUUGAAAGAAUGCUGCUAUGAACACCAAUAUAUCCUUCCCUUGGAUUUACCAGUUGUCAAUGUUUUGCCACAAUUCCUCUGGAAGUGUUAGACAUCAUUAUAUUUAAUCUCUGAAUACAUUAGCAUGUAACUCCAAAGAACAAGGACAUUUUCCUACAUAACCACAGUAGGAUUAGCCCACUGAAGACAUUUAACAUCGAUUUGCCUUUAUUUGUGUAAAAAAAUUUUGUAACUAACAAAAAAGAAAUUUAACACUGAUAUAACAGUAUUAUCUAAUACACAGCCCAUAUUCAAAUUCCCUCAAUUGCCCCAAUAACAUUCUUUAUAGCUAUUUCCAUGCAAUCUAGGACUUGAAAAUCAUGAAUUGUAUUCAGUCAUCACCCGAGCAGAAGGGUAAGGCUGGGGAUGAGCUUGGCAUGUUUGAAGAAUUGCAGAAAGUUCAGUGAGGCUGGCGCGAGGCAGAUGAGGGAAGAGAGCGGGAAAGGUGAGGUUAGAGGCAUGGCAAGGAGUCAAAGAUCACGAGGCUUUUAAAAUCAGAGUAAAGAGUUUAUUUUAAAUGCAAUGAAAAGCCAUUAGAGGGUUUGAAGCAGGGAAUGACUUAAUCUGAUUUAUAAUUUUUGUUUUGUUUUGUUUUGUUUUUGAAAUGGAGUCUCGCUCUGUCGCCAGGCUGGAGUGCAGUCGUGCGAUCUUGGCUCACUGCAACCUCUGCCUCCCAGGUUCAGGUGAUUCUCCUGCCUCAGCCUCCCGAGUAGCUGGGACUACAGGAGCGUGCCACCACACACAGCUAAUUUUUUUGUAUUUUUAGUAGAGGUGGGGUUUCACCAUGUUGGCCAGAAUGGGCUCGAUCUCCUGACCUAGUGAUCUGCCCGCCUCGGCCUCCCAAAGUGCUGGAAUUACAGGCAUGAGCCACCUUGCUCCGCCCUGAUUUAGGAUUUUAAAAGGUCAAUCUGAAGACAAUUUCAGAGUUGGGACAUUCUAUAAGACAACUAGUCCUAGACUCUUUAAAAAGUUAAGGUCAAGGCCAGGCACGGUGUCUCACACCUGUAAUCCCAGCACUUUAGGAGGCCUAGGUGGGCGGAUCACCUGAGGUCGGGAGUUGGAGACCAGCCUGAUCAACAUGGCGAAACCCUGUCUCUACUAAAAAUACAAGAAAAAAAAAGUUAAUGCCAAAAUAAUAAUAAUAAUAAUAAUAAUAAUAAGUUUAUAUCAUUUUUUGUUGGUGUUUUUUGGAGCUUUCAUAACAAAUUACCACAAACUUGGUGGCUUAGAACAACAAAAAUGUAUUCUCUCACAGUUCUGAAGUCCAGAAGUCCAAAAUCAAGGUGUUGGUGGGGCUGUAGUCCCGAAGGCUGGAGCAGAGAGGAACCCUUCCUUGCCUCUUCCAGCUUGUGGUGCUCCAGGCAUUCCUUGGCUUGUGACCACAUCCCUCCAGUCUCUCCCUCUGUCUUCGCAUGGCCGUCUCCUCCUUUGUGUCCAUGUCUCCUCUUCCUCUUACAAAGACCCUCAUCUUUGGAUUUGGGGCCCACCCAAGUAAUCCAGGAUGAUCUCACCUUAAGAUCAUUGUUUACCCCUGUAAAGACGCUUUUCCCAAAUAAGGUCACAUUAACAUGUCCUAGGACAUAGACAUAUGUUUUGGGAAGCCACCAUUCAGUCCACUACAGUGGGAGAUCAUUUUGACAACAAGAGACUAAGAGAUGAAACAAUCAAAUGUAUGUACAAAGCUAGAUUGGACCCUAAAUUUUUUUUAAAGAGGUUAUUGGAGAAUUUGGGGUAUUAUAUGCUAUGAAAUGAUUAUUCUUCUUUUAGGUGUGAAGAUCGGAGUGUGGUUGUGUAAUGGAAUGUCUGCCUGCUAAAGUAUUUAGGAGUGGAGUGUCAUGAUAUCCUCAACCUUCUUUCUAGUGGGUUAGCAAAGAAAAGGUAUAUGUUCUAGAGAAAGAAAGAAAUGGCAAUUUUUAAAAAUUUUUUCUUCUAUUAAUUUUUUUCCUUUUUUAAAAAAAUAGUUUGUCUUCAUCUUACUUGUUAUUUUUUCUAUUUAUUUAUUUAUUUAAAAUAUUUAUUUAUUUAAAAUAGAUACUGGGUCUC
rnacentral:lncRNA from 1 species